rnacentral:ncRNA from 1 species
GUUUAUUGCGAGACCCCACCUCCUCCCGGGGUCUGUAGCAAAAGCGGCGGCAUCUCUCCUCCUCCCUGAUGCCGUCGCGUCUU